UAUACACACGCACUAGCUAAGGAUCACUGCCAAUAUAUGUAAUUAAGAAUUUUAGGGUAAUAACUAUUAUUAUUAAUUUUUAUUCUAAUUAUUAUCACUAUUAAUACUACUAUAUUAUUACUGCUACAUUUUAAUUAUGCACACUCUAGGUUUUUAGGCGUGGGUGUAUCGUUCAUCGGCGGCCACAAGCGAAAAUUGCCGCUGACACCGAAAUUUGUAAAUAAUUAGAGAAAUUAUUUGAAAGUCCCUGCGCCUUGCGUACGUGUGAUGGAGUCGCCUCGUAAGUUACUGGGUCUAUAGUAAACAUAGUAAAUAAUAUGUAUAGUAGCGUGCUGCCCCCUGUCUUUAUACAGAUACUCGUUCUCUUCGUUUCUAUCGCCGCAAGCUUCCCGGCCUAUUCAGAGGGAAGGAAACUUAAAAAAACUGGGUGGCCGCUAGACCGGAAAACCGAGAAAUAAUCGGGAUUUUUUUUUAAUAUCGAUAAAUCACAGUAAAUUUACUUUCAUGCUUUUUCAUCUUUCAGUCUCGAUUUUUAAUUGUUCAUUUUCAAAUUAAAAAUUUUUUAAUACAGGCUGGAAGGCUUGAACAUUUAAAAACUUGUGGUGUUUGGCAUUACAAAUUUUGAUGGUAAAAUGUUUCAAGUAGAUUGAAUUAGAAAUUGAGCUAUUGGAAAUUAAAGCAUAAUUAUUGGAACACACGAAAAAGUUCGAGGUAAAAAUUUAAAGAAAUUAUGGUUCUUUUAACCAGAAUUCAAGUUAGAACAAGUGUGUCAUAUUUCGUAAAUUUCAAUUUCAUAAUUAAAAUAAAAGUGGCGUUAUUUAAAUGUUCGAAUAUUAGAUAUUUUAUCAUUUUGAAUGUUUAAUUUGGAGUUAAUGUGUAAUUGGGAUCUCCUUAAAAUUAAAACUAUUCAAUUUCAAAGGUUUCCUUUAUUUGUAUACAUACACUCGUAUAUUAUUGAACCCUUGAACCUCAAACUGCUGAAUUUUAAAUGGCGAAUUCCGAAAAGUUCUUUUUUAUUAUUAAAAUUUGCAAUUUUUCUUAAUUAUUUUAAAGUAAAAAAUUUGCAGCUUUAAAAGCUUAAAUUUUGUACUUCAAAUGAUCGGAAAAAAAUUUGGAAAUUAUAAAAAGCGAAACCGGGAAUUUUUUCUUGUACUUUAGCGGCCACCUGGAAGAAAUGUAAAGAACGGGCAUGUUUCGGCGACACUGUUAUCGCAUCAUGAGGUCAGAAACAUUGGAUAAAACUCUCACUGCCAAAAUUGCACUGCCAAUCGCCUUUUGCGCAGCACACUCGAUAAAUAUUUUGCCUUCUCCCUUCUGAGAUGCAACCAAUCGUCGCUUCCUCCCCCUUAGAUUCAUAUUUCUUUUGCGAUCAAAGUACAAAUCAUUUUCUUCGUCACUGUCAAUUGGCACUGCCAGGGAUUUCUUGCUACUAAAAUGCUGCCAAUAUGUUGUCCAGCUACAUGAAACCUUAUUAAUCGUUGUUAUUUCAUAUGGCAAGAAAAACCACUUAAUUAAUAAUAAAUUUGAAUGAGUUAUAACAUGGAAUCUUGAUUUUUUGAUAUUUCGGAUCAAACUUUUCUGGUGCCAUACAUUCAAGCUUUGCAUAUUCACGAUGCGUACGAUCGACCUUUAUGACAAGUAAAUACUGAAAAUGUGUAAAUAAUGUAUCAGUGUAUCACGAAUAUAAUUAUUAAUUGGCUUUAAAAAUAAUAAACUUUUAAUUUAAUGUUUAAGAUUGGUUGAAAGCCUAAGCUCAAAAUUCACAUUUACGUAAUAAUAAUAAUAAUAAAAUUUAAAUAAUAAUAAUAAUAAUUAAUAAUAAGAAGAAAGCAUCCAGAGGUGAGUGUUGUCACCUGAUAUAUUAAUUUUAACUAAAUGAGAUCCCAUUAAAAAUAUUCGCGCAAACUUUAGAGGACUGUGAAUGCAAUACCAUUCAUUAUAUCAUAUUAUCUUUUAUAUAAGUAAUUUAGCUAUAUUUAAAUGAAAUAGGUCGUUUCGUACGCCGAAAGCUUGGAAGUUAAUUAUUUAGCAUCAACAUUUUCGUUCAUAUGUUUAUCGUUCAUUUAUCCUUUCCUUCAUCACAAUUCGUGGCAGGGCCAAAAUCGACCGCCCAUCUUGUCUUUCUUUCAUAUAUAAAUGUUUAAUUUUCAGAGAAAUUAAUAAAACUCUAUAUUUGUAAUGAAAAAUAAUUGUUUUAAAGAUUAAAAUGAUUCUCUUCAAAUCAAUUCAGAAAAUCCAUUCCAAUUAUUCUGCUCUAAAUCCACGUGGGACCAAUUUUUUAUAGCAAUAAAAACACCAAGUUGAUUUUGGUUUGACAAAAUUAUUAUGAUGAGCGUUCGAUUAUUUAGUCAUGCUUGAUCUCGGGGAGGAAAAUUUUUCAUAGGCCCUCGAAUAGUUCAAGUUUCAACCAUUUAUGUCAGACGCGUAACUAAUUUACUAUAAUCACUGCGAUAUCGAAUUCGUGACAGAAGGCAGAUAUGAAAUUUGUGAGGAUCUCGAUUCUCCGUAGGUAUAGACUGAAAAGAAUAAUUUUAUAUGUUAGAAAAUUGUAUCAUGUUCUUCAGUCUACGACUGUGUGAUGUAACUGCGUGUAGACUUGUAUUUUCUUGAAAUAAUCGCCGUCUUUGUUUCGGUCAAGCUAACGAUUCCCACUCCAAGAUUAUUCUAAGGUAAUUAAGAUUCGCUCCUCAUAAAUUUCGUCUCGGGUCAUGGUCUCCUACGGAGAUUCGAGACGAUCAUUUUCAAGACUGUCGUAUAUCAAUGCUCUAACAGAUUCAUUGCGUUGUAUACUUAAUAACUGCUGGUCAAAGUAUUUCUAUCGUUUAUAAAAAUCGAUUGACAUGACGCAAAACUUGAUAAAGUUUGUAGAAAAAUGUUUAAGUAAGGGUAUUCGCUUUGAGUAUGUAAUGUGUUAAUAGAAGGAACUGCAAAUAUUUCGAUGGCAAAGAUUUUAACCUAGGAUUGAGAUUGUCAAAAUAACAUCCAGGACAUUGUGAAGGUCCAAGCCAGUGCUGGACAGCAGGAGCCUGGCCUGUAUGAAUCUUCAAGGAAAUUGAACCCUUGAGAGUAACACAUACGAAUAUUGGUACGUCUUAGGUUCCAGAGCCUUCCAGAGAUCUAGACGUAUCAGCAAUAUACACCCUGGACGAUGCACAAGUUGAGCAAUUUGGACUGUUUGGUGAUGAUGACCAGAAUACUUUUUUCGAUCCGUGCCUUCAGAAGUAUCACAUCAAUUUACCAACACUUACUGACUUUAGUGACUAUUUUCACGGAGGGGCUCAGCCCUUCACUCUUCAAUUGUCCGAUAUAAGUGUGGU